rnacentral:rRNA from 1 species
CACGUAGGCGGCUUUGUAAGUUAGAGGUGAAAGCCCGGAGCUCAACUCCGGAACUGCCUUUAAGACUGCAUCGCUAGAACGUUGGAGAGGUAAGUGGAAUUCCGAGUGUAGAGGUGAAAUUACGUAGAUAUUCGGAAGAACACCAGUGGCGAAGGCGACUUACUGGACAACUGUUGACGCUGAGGUGCGAAAGCGUGGGGAGCAAACA